GACAAACGCUGGCGGCAUGCCUAACACAUGCAAGUCGAACGGACAGAACAGGGAAGCUUUUCGGAGUGGAACUGGAAAGUUAGUGGCGGAUGGGUGAGUAACGCGUGGACAACCUACCUUGUAAAGGGGAAUAACCUCGAGAAAUCGAAGCUAAUACCCCAUAAUAACCUUGCUUCGCAUGAAGUAAGGAGGAAAGGCGGCCUUAGCGCUGUCGAUACAAGAUGGGUCCGCGUCUGAUUAGCUAGUUGGUGAGGUAAAGGCUCACCAAGGCGACGAUCAGUAGCCGGCAUGAGAGGGUGAACGGCCACAUUGGGACUGAGACACGGCCCAAACUCCUACGGGAGGCAGCAGUGGGGAAUCUUCCGCAAUGGGCGAAAGCCUGACGGAGCAAUGCCGCGUGAGUGAAGAAGGCCUUCGGGUUGUAAAACUCUGUCCUUAUCGAAGAGAGAGUGUUGUAGUAACUGACAAUACUAGGACGGUAGAUGAGGAGGAAGCCCCGGCUAACUAUGUG
rnacentral:rRNA from 1 species